rnacentral:rRNA from 1 species
GUAGGUGGCAAGCGUUGUCCGGAAUUAUUGGGCGUAAAGCGCGCGCAGGUGGUUCUUUAAGUCUGAUGUGAAAGCCCCCGGCUCAACCGGGGAGGGUCAUUGGAAACUGGGGAACUUGAGUGCAGGAGAGGAAAGUGGAAUUCCACGUGUAGCGGUGAAAUGCGUAGAUAUGUGGAGGAACACCAGUGGCGAAGGCGACUUUCUGGCCUGUAACUGACACUGAGGCGCGAAAGCGUGGGGAGCAAACAGGGAUUAGAUACCCUGGUAGUCCACGCCGUGAACGAUGAGUGCUAAGUGUUGGGGGGGUUUCCGCCCCUCAGUGCUGCAGCUAACGCAUUAAGCACUCCGCCUGGGGAUACGGUCGCAAGACUG